rnacentral:rRNA from 1 species
UACGUAGGGUCCGAGCGUUGUCCGGAGUUAUUGGGCGUAAAGCGCGCGCAGGCGGUGCGGUAAGUCUCUGGUGAAAGCGCUCGGCUUAACUGGGCGAGGGCCGGGGAGACUGCCACGCUGGAGGGGAGCAGAGGCGAGUGGAAUUCCGGGUGUAGUGGUGAAAUGCGUAGAGAUCCGGAGGAACACCAGUGGCGAAGGCGGCUCGCUGGGCUCUACCUGACGCUGAGGCGCGAAAGCGUGGGGAGCGAACCGG